AUAAUACUCCAUAGAUUAGAGAUACUGGAAUGUUCUUUAGUCAAAAGUUCCGGCGCCUUAGGAUGGAUCUGCGGUCGAUUAGGUUGUUGUUGGGGUAACGGCCCAACAAGCCUGUAAUCGAUACGGGUUGUGGGAGCAAUAGCCCGGAGAUGGAAUCUGAGACAAGAUUCCAGGCCCUACGGGGCGCAGCAGGCGCGAAAACUUUACAAUGCAGGAAACUGUGAUAAGGGAACCCCGAGUGCCCGUAUACGCGGGCUGUCCAGGUGUUUAAAAGUCAUCUGAAGAAAGGGCCGGGCAAGACCGGUGCCAGCCGCCGCGGUAAUACCGGCGGCUCGAGUGGUGGCCACUAUUAUUGGGCUUAAAGCGUCCGUAGCUGGACUGAUAAGUCUCUUGGGAAAUCCGCCGGCUCAACCGGCGGGCGUCUAAGGGAUACUGUUGGUCUAGGGACCGGGAGAGGUGAGAGGUACUCCGGGGGUAGGAGUGAAAUCCUGUAAUCCCCGGGGGACCACCGAUGGCGAAGGCAUCUCACCAGAACGGCUCCGACAGUGAGGGACGAAAGCUGGGGGAGCAAACCGGAUUAGAUACCCGGGUAGUCCCAGCCGUAAACUAUGCGCGUUAGGUGU
rnacentral:rRNA from 1 species